UACGUAGGGCGCAAGCGUUAUCCGGAAUUACUGGGCGUAAAGAGCUCGUAGGUGGUUUGUCGCGUUGUUCGUGAAAACUCACAGCUUAACUGUGGGCGUGCGGGCGAUACGGGCAGACUUGAGUACUGCAGGGGAGACUGGAAUUCCUGGUGUAGCGGUGGAAUGCGCAGAGAUCAGGAGGAACACCGGUGGCGAAGGCGGACCCACUGGGCAGUCGACUGACGCUGAGGCGCGAAAGCUCGGGGAGCGAACGGGA
rnacentral:rRNA from 1 species